AUUCUUAAUUAGCAAAAUCCACUUCCAAAUCUAAGACUAGGAAUGUGCUUCUAUGCAAAGGCUUUAUUUUUAAAUAACAAGGAAAAAAGCUAUUCAAGAGACAGUAUUUUAUCCAUGAAUGAUCCUACAAUAUCAUCCCAGAGGACACUUUUGUCAAAUCAUUGGUGGAUUCAGUCAAUCAGUGGUAGCGACAACCCAAGGAAAGGAGGAGAAAGGAUGAAUGAAGACACUGAUUCCCAAGUCCCUCCUUUCAGGUCACCGUGGGUUGGCUGCAUCUCUAAUGAAGGCAACAGCUGCUAUGCAGUGACCCUCUCCAUAAAACCUCCCUCUCUGUAGAGGGGUUAUCAACUAUCAUCUCAGAUGGAAAACUAUGCGAAGGAUAUCCCACACUGGCAAGUUGUUCUUCCUAGGAUAAAGCCAUUGUAACCCUUUUUUUAGUUGUCAAGCAAAAUUCAAGAGUUUUAUGAAUAACAUGAAAAUUUCAUGAGUAACUAAGUCUGUCUCACAAAAGUCUAAUAGGGACUGGAAGACUUCAUCAAAGUUACCUGGAUAUGGU